GAUGAACGCUGGCGGCGUGCCUAAAACAUGCAAGUCGAGCGAACAGACGAGGAGCUUGCUCCUCUGACGUUAGCGGCGGACGGGUGAGUAACACGUGGAUAACCUACCUAUAAGACUGGGAUAACUUCGGGAAACCGGAGCUAAUACCGGAUAAUAUAUUGAACCGCAUGGUUCAAUAGUGAAAGACGGUUUUGCUGUCACUUAUAGAUGGAUCCGCGCCGCAUUAGCUAGUUGGUAAGGUAACGGCUUACCAAGGCAACGAUGCGUAGCCGACCUGAGAGGGUGAUCGGCCACACUGGAACUGAGACACGGUCCAGACUCCUACGGGAGGCAGCAGUAGGGAAUCUUCCGCAAUGGGCGAAAGCCUGACGGAGCAACGCCGCGUGAGUGAUGAAGGUCUUCGGAUCGUAAAACUCUGUUAUUAGGGAAGAACAAAUGUGUAAGUAACUAUGCACGUCUUGACGGUACCUAAUCAGAAAGCCACGGCUAACUACGUG
rnacentral:rRNA from 1 species